CAAUAGCGUAUAUUUAAGUUGCUGCAGUUAAAAAGCUCGUAGUUGGAUUUCGGGUGGGAAUGGCCGGUCCGCCGUUUCGGUGUGCACUUGCUACGCCCACCUUGCUGCCGGGGACGUGCUCUUGAGUUCACGCUCGGGACACGGAGUCGGCGAGGUUACUUUGAGUAAAUUAGAGUGUUCAAAGCAGGCCUACGCUCUGAAUACAUUAGCAUGGAAUAACACGAUAGGACUCUGGCCUAUCUUGUUGGUCUGUAGGACCGGAGUAAUGAUUGAGAGGGACAGUCGGGGGCAUUCGUAUUUCAUUGUCAGAGGUGAAAUUCUUGGAUUUAUGAAAGACGAACUACUGCGAAAGCAUUUGCCAAGGAUGUUUUCAUUAA
rnacentral:rRNA from 1 species